GCAAUACUUAGCAGCCCAAUGGCAUGCUGCUCCAUUGUUGUCUGGUUCAUGGGACACCAAUCCCAUGCUGACAUCAGGGAGGACCGGUAGCCAUGCACAACAGGUAUGAGACAUGGUCCAGGAAUGGAGUCCUGUGAGAAGACUUCUGAGUGCUUGUGAGAAUAUUCCUAAGAGUCCGAUGGCCUUAUGACCAAAGUUUCUUCAAGAUCCCAAAUUGUCCAUGGACUGUGUUUUCAUGCUCUUUUCCUGGUGUUUUGGAUAGGAAUGAGUUUACUUCAGAUUGCUCAUUAUUGCUUCCUGUUGAAAUUUAACUAAGGUUUAAACUACCCUUUAUAUGCCUUUAUGGAAAAACAUAAUUUGGCAACUUGUA
rnacentral:lncRNA from 1 species